rnacentral:lncRNA from 1 species
UGAGUUCAGAUAGAGGUGAUGCAAUUCUCAAACAUGGCGUCUCGCUUGUUUCUUCUUGCAGCGAUUGUGCUCUUUUGCAUAGCACUGGUAAGUGAAGCAAGCACACUAUCUCAUGUUACAUGCUGUUGAAAUUAAUUGAGGAAUAACUUAAUUAUUUAUUUAUCAUAAAAAAUAGUUUUCUGCAUCUGCAUGGAAUUCUUUGGUUCGUUUCUUAAUUAACAUCCUACUUACUUUGCAUGCAGGCUUCAUCUGAUGCCAAGAUUGAAAAUCAAGACACCCAGCGGGGCCAGGAGGUCAAAGGAGCUAAUAGAAGGCUUUUGACAUCCGUUGGUACGCAGCUUCUUCUUCUUC